AUUUCUGUAAGAUUUCAAUAUUAAUUUUCAAGAUUCAAAAUACAAUAACAUACCUUCAGUAUAUAAAUACAAGCGUUCACAUAGAAAAAACACCUCAUUUGUUUUUAGUUUUUUUCUUCUUUUCAAUUCUCUACAACUAGAAAAUUCUAGAUUUCUUCACAAUAUGUAUCACUAAUAUAUAUUUUGUAUUGUUUUUUGCAGUUCAAUUGUAAGCGGCCAUUCAUGGCAAAUAAGAGUGGGAUCAGUGCAUCGAAAAAUUUCUUAACGAGCUAAACUAAAAAAGACUAUCAUCUUCG